CACGUAGGGGGCAAGCGUUGUCCGGAUUUAUUGGGCGUAAAGCGUCCGCAGGUGGCUAUGUAAGUCUGCUGUUAAAGAGUGAGGCUCAACCUCAUAAGAGCAGUGGAAACUACAUGGCUAGAGUGCGUUCGGGGCAGAGGGAAUUCCUGGUGUAGCGGUGAAAUGCGUAGAGAUCAGGAAGAACACCGGUGGCGAAAGCGCUCUGCUAGGCCGCAACUGACACUGAGGGACGAAAGCUAGGGGAGCGAAUGGG
rnacentral:rRNA from 1 species